GAUGACGCUGGCGGCGUGCCUAAUACAUGCAAGUCGAACGAGUUCUCGUUGAUGAUCGGUGCUUGCACCGAGAUUCAACAUGGAACGAGUGGCGGACGGGUGAGUAACACGUGGGUAACCUGCCCUUAAGUGGGGGAUAACAUUUGGAAACAGAUGCUAAUACCGCAUAGAUCCAAGAACCGCAUGGUUCUUGGCUGAAAGAUGGCGUAAGCUAUCGCUUUUGGAUGGACCCGCGGCGUAUUAGCUAGUUGGUGAGGUAAUGGCUCACCAAGGCGAUGAUACGUAGCCGAACUGAGAGGUUGAUCGGCCACAUUGGGACUGAGACACGGCCCAAACUCCUACGGGAGGCAGCAGUAGGGAAUCUUCCACAAUGGACGCAAGUCUGAUGGAGCAACGCCGCGUGAGUGAAGAAGGCUUUCGGGUCGUAAAACUCUGUUGUUGGAGAAGAAUGGUCGGCAGAGUAACUGUUGUCGGCGUGACGGUAUCCAACCAGAAAGCCACGGCUAACUACGUGCCAGCAGCCGCGGUAAUACGUAGGUGGCAAGCGUUAUCCGGAUUUAUUGGGCGUAAAGCGAGCGCAGGCGGUUUUUUAAGUCUGAUGUGAAAGCCCUCGGCUUAACCGAGGAAGCGCAUCGGAAACUGGGAAACUUGAGUGCAGAAGAGGACAGUGGAACUCCAUGUGUAGCGGUGAAAUGCGUAGAUAUAUGGAAGAACACCAGUGGCGAAGGCGGCUGUCUGGUCUGUAACUGACGCUGAGGCUCGAAAGCAUGGGUAGCGAACAGGAUUAGAUACCCUGGUAGUCCAUGCCGUAAACGAUGAAUGCUAGGUGUUGGAGGGUUUCCGCCCUUCAGUGCCGCAGCUAACGCAUUAAGCAUUCCGCCUGGGGAGUACGACCGCAAGGUUGAAACUCAAAGGAAUUGACGGGGGCCCGCACAAGCGGUGGAGCAUGUGGUUUAAUUCGAAGCAACGCGAAGAACCUUACCAGGUCUUGACAUCUUUUGAUCACCUGAGAGAUCAGGUUUCCCCUUCGGGGGCAAAAUGACAGGUGGUGCAUGGUUGUCGUCAGCUCGUGUCGUGAGAUGUUGGGUUAAGUCCCGCAACGAGCGCAACCCUUAUGACUAGUUGCCAGCAUUUAGUUGGGCACUCUAGUAAGACUGCCGGUGACAAACCGGAGGAAGGUGGGGAUGACGUCAAAUCAUCAUGCCCCUUAUGACCUGGGCUACACACGUGCUACAAUGGAUGGUACAACGAGUUGCGAGACCGCGAGGUCAAGCUAAUCUCUUAAAGCCAUUCUCAGUUCGGACUGUAGGCUGCAACUCGCCUACACGAAGUCGGAAUCGCUAGUAAUCGCGGAUCAGCACGCCGCGGUGAAUACGUUCCCGGGCCUUGUACACACCGCCCGUCACACCAUGAGAGUUUGUAACACCCGAAGCCGGUGGCGUAACCCUUUUAGGGAGCGAGCCGUCUAAGGUGGGACAAAUGAUUAGGGUGA
rnacentral:rRNA from 2 species